CCGGUGCCCUGCGGGGUUAACGGCGGUGUUAAACCUUARAGUAGCGUGAUAGAUUGGCCUUUAAUUGGGGUCUGGUAUGAAUGGGUUGACGUCGGAAAUGCUGUCUCAAAAAAAUAUAAUGAAAUUUACUUUUCAGUGAAAAGGCUGAAAUUUGAGUAAAAGACGAGAAGACCCUAUCGAGCUUGAGGGAUUCUAAUGUUGUAAAACCGUUAGAAGGAGUUUGGCUGGGGCAGCAACGGAGGUAACCUCCGUUUUUAAGUCGAAGAUCCAUUAGAUUGGUUAAUGAUAAGAGGAAAAAGUUACCGUAGGGAUAACAGCACCAGACCGCCUCAGAGGCCGUAUCGAAGGCGGAAGGUGUGACCUCGAUGUUGGAUCAGGGUGAACCGCAUGGUGCAGGAGCUAUGCAGG
rnacentral:rRNA from 1 species